rnacentral:rRNA from 1 species
GACGAACGCUGGCGGCGUGCUUAACACAUGCAAGUCGAACGGAAAGGCCCUGCUUGCCGGGUACUCGAGUGGCGAACGGGUGAGUAACACGUGGGUGAUCUGCCCUGCACUUCGGGAUAAGCCUGGGAAACUGGGUCUAAUACCGGAUAGGAGCCAUUUUUAGUGUGAUGGUUGGAAAGUUUUUUCGGUGUAGGAUGAGCUCGCGGGCUAUCAGCUUGUUGGUGGGGUAAUGGCCUACCAAGGCGGCGACGGGUAGCCGGCCUGAGAGGGUGGACGGCCACAUUGGGACUGAGAUACGGCCCAGACUCCUACGGGAGGCAGCAGUGGGGAAUAUUGCACAAUGGGCGCAAGCCUGAUGCAGCGACGCCGCGUGGGGGAUGACGGCCUUCGGGUUGUAAACUCCUUUCGCUAGGGACGAAGCUUUUUGUGACGGUACCUAGAUAAGAAGCACCGGCUAACUACGUG